rnacentral:rRNA from 1 species
AACGAACGCUGGCGGCAUGCCUAACACAUGCAAGUCGAACGAGAUCUUCGGGUCUAGUGGCGCACGGGUGCGUAACGCGUGGGAAUCUGCCCUUUGGUUCGGAAUAACAGUUGGAAACGACUGCUAAUACCGGAUGAUGACGAAAGUCCAAAGAUUUAUCGCCAGAGGAUGAGCCCGCGUAGGAUUAGCUAGUUGGUGUGGUAAAGGCGCACCAAGGCGACGAUCCUUAGCUGGUCUGAGAGGAUGAUCAGCCACACUGGGACUGAGACACGGUCCAGACUCCUACGGGAGGCAGCAGUGGGGAAUAUUGGACAAUGGGCGAAAGCCUGAUCCAGCAGUGCCGCGUGAGUGAUGAAGGCCUUAGGGUUGUAAAGCUCUUUUACCCGGGAUGAUAAUGACAGUACCGGGAGAAUAAGCUCCGGCUAACUCCGUGCCAGCCGCCGCGGUAA